rnacentral:rRNA from 1 species
GAUGAACGCUGGCGGCGUGCCUAAUACAUGCAAGUCGAGCGAACAGAUAAGGAGCUUGCUCCUUUGACGUUAGCGGCGGACGGGUGAGUAACACGUGGGUAACCUACCUAUAAGACUGGAAUAACUCCGGGAAACCGGGGCUAAUGCCGGAUAACAUUUAGAACCGCAUGGUUCUAAAGUGAAAGAUGGUUUUGCUAUCACUUAUAGAUGGACCCGCGCCGUAUUAGCUAGCUGGUAAGGUAACGGCUUACCAAGGCAACGAUACGUAGCCGACCUGAGAGGGUGAUCGGCCACACUGGAACUGAGACACGGUCCAGACUCCUACGGGAGGCAGCAGUAGGGAAUCUUCCGCAAUGGGCGAAAGCCUGACGGAGCAACGCCGCGUGAGUGAUGAAGGUCUUCGGACCGUAAAACUCUGUUAUUAGGGAAGAACAAAUGUGUAAGUAACUGUGCACGUCUUGACGGUACCUAAUCAGAAAGCCACGGCUAACUACGUG